rnacentral:misc_RNA from 1 species
AUGGCACGAGACGAGAUAUAUACCUCGAAUGCUGUAUACGAAUCAGCGCAUGGAAUCCUAAGCAGAGGCAUGAACGAAGACAGUGCGAGGGUUUUGAGUUUCCUGAGCGCGUCACUGCGCGCAGCCUCGCGCGCCUCUGGCUCUGGGUCGACGCGGCAGUGCGCGGGGCGCGCUCGACAGCUGCUCCGCUGCAGCGGCUGUCUGCAAGACAUGCUCGACAUGUUGCUUAGCACAACCCCAUUGAAUACAGAAGAUUGGAAACUCGUCUGCGAGUGUCUUGCGGAGUCGUGCAAGGACUGUUAUAAUAACCAACUUCACUGUUUUAGUCUAAUUCCCAUUUGCAUUCAGCGAUUGAACGAGGGGAAUAACGAAUCAAUAUCAACGAAGCUGCUUCACAGUUUAUUAUUGAACAAUAAAAAUAAUAUUAAUAUAUUUGUUGAAUGUAACGGUACAUCAAUCUUUACCAAAGACACAAUCCAUGACAGUGCGAAAAUGGAAUUAUUGUCCGUAGUAGCGGAAAAUGCGUCUGCGGCUGAUAUAAUAAAACGCGACUCAGAUUUGGUGAAUUCCCUUAUCACUGUCGGGGAAGAUUACAAAGUUAACUGUCAGGGAUCUUGGAAGGUAAUCAAUAACUACCAACACUUAAAUUCCCGAGCAGAUUCUUACUGCUUAUGUAUUUAUUUUGCUUAUGAUUUAUGAUAUAAGGUGCGGUCCAAAAGUUUCCGGCCUAACAAAGAAAGGGCCUACAUUUUUUGAUAUAGUCAUCCUCUGUUACAACGCAGUUUUCAAAUCUUUAAAAGCUUCUCUAUCACCUAAUAAAAAUAAUAAAGAUUUUUGUCCUCAAAGUCAUCCUCUGUUACAAAGCAGUUUUCAAAUUUCUUUAAAAGCUUCUCUAUCACCUAAUGAUAAUAAUAAAGAUUUUUCUCCUCAAACUCUGCCUAAACCGCACGGGUCACUUCGUCAGUCGAGUCAACCUUAAGUUUUUAGAACAAAUAAUAGUACCUAAUAAUAAGGGCUAAAGUUUCAUGAACUCAAGGUUUCUCACUCGUCUCGUUGUAAGCACGAAACUAUACUUGCACCAAAAAAGUGGAAUAAAUGACGCACACAAUGAUAUCCAUACUUUACGGAGACUUAGAUUAUUAUAGAUUUCACUAAUAGAAUUUAAAUUUCAGAUGGUAGAAUGGGCGUCAGUGAUUUUGUUCCAUCUAGCAUCGCGUGUUGAAGGAACAAUUUUAAACAUAUCGGAUUUUGACCUAGACAUGAAUGGCUCUGAAACCACUUUGCAUGACCUCUCUGUGUCAUUUUUAAUGAAACCAAAGUGGGAAAAGGUUGGACCCAGCCAAUUAUUUUACAACGAUACCAUUAAGAAUAAAAAAGGCGAUCAUGAAUCAAAAUGCGCUGUAAUGGAUUUCGCACCCACAUUUGCAUCAACUCCAAAGAAAAGAAUAUCUACAACACGCGGGACAGAAUUGAGUAAAGAACUAAAAGACAGAACUCAGCAAAAAAACGACAAUAUUUCAAAAGAACCUUGUGAAAAUAAUUCAGCUUCACGAUUAAAGAAAACGCUUUCGACGCGUACUCGUUUGUUACAAAUGGUAAACAAUUCCUGCGUAUCUGUUUGUAAAACGAUGGGGACUAUUUUCUGUCGAGAGCCAGCAGACACACAAUCCAGAAGACUGUUAAAGCAAAAGUUCAACAUUGACGAAGGAAAUGUGAUUAAGUUUACUGAAUAUUUGAAACAGAAAAUUUCACACACUGAUAAAAAAACCAGCAGUAAUUUAAGCUCUCAAAAAAAUGCAAAAAAAAAACUAAAACUAGUUAUCAAACAAAAAUUUCUAAAGAACAUAGUAAGGAAACUUAAAACUGGAAUGCAUUUUUAUGGUUGUAAUUUUAAGGUAGGUAUAAG